AUCCUCCAACAUACAUGUUGCCAGUCCUAGAAAUAAUACUUGGACCUUCUAUCUUAUUCUGCUUCACUUUUCAACUUGUUAGGAAAGAGAGGUGCUAUUUAUCGAUGAUCUCUAACACUUGAGGAUCUUCUGACUCUUGAGAACAAGGUGUAUAGGGGUCACUUAAUUACUGUUCUUUCUUUCCCUCAGGUGGAAACGGUGCAGUUUCCAACCCCCACAGCUCUGUCCCCAACCCUUCAAAAAUAACUCCUUGAAAUCACAAAUAAGAUUGAUACACUGCAAGAGAGUCUACAGCAUUUCACAAGUCAGACGGAUAUUUGUUCUUAGUUUCCUGCUCUCACUUCUCCCUGAAAAAAGAGAAAAAAAUUAAGGGAGUGUUAUAUUAUGGAACUCUCCUUUUAGAAAAGCAUUGCCUAUUUGGAGGAAAGAAAAGGAUUUGUUUCUAUAUCAGGAAUCAGUACUCACAGAUAUGCUGGAGUUCUUCAAAGUCAAUACAUUUGUGGAAUAAUAAGGAAAUUGAGCACCUCUUGGAUACCAGCAUUGUGCUUAAUGUUUUCAUGUUUCUCAAUAUACUCAUACCGCUUAUUAUCCUCAUUUCUUAUGAUGAAACUGAGGCUUAGAUAAAUUAGGAAAUUUAUUUAAGUUUACAUAGCUAGGAAGCAGAGCCAGAAUUCAAACCCAAUAUUCCUUGGUUUGAAAGAUCAUGCUCAUUGCUGCAUCACACACUAGUUUCCAGUGAUCUACAAUGACAACAAAAAUCAAUGGACUUCAUGAGUCUCCUUAGCAGGAUGUUGUUCUUAAUGGGUUCACCUAGUGGCAGGAUCAGCUCAAGGUAAAAUUUUCUGCCCCUUCUCCCUCUUUUAAGUGAACUCUUAUUUUAGGGUGAUCAGUCCUCCAUUUCUUCUUCCAGAGGCCAUGCCAUUUGGCUUGGAGCAAUACUAAGAGAAAUUCAGGAGCAAUUUAAAAACCAGGAAAAAGCAGCCAGGACAUCCCAAGGCAAAGCCUGUUGUGGCAUCUAAAGAAAUUACGUUACUUUCGAGUCGGCUCUGACUCAUGGACAAUGGCAACCUUAUGCCUAACAGAAUGAAAUGCUGCCCGGGUCCUGUGCCAUCUUCAUCAUCACUGAAGAUGUAAGACCCAACCGGAACCAAACAUUCUGGCAGUGGGAAGCUACAGGAGCCAUGACCAUCAACCCAAAGAGAGUCCAAAGAACACCUAGGAUCCCUGUAGGUUGAGGUACCCACAUCAGUCAGAAAUGGCUUCUGCUACAGCAGGCACAGAAAAUGAAUAAUGGAUAGAAAUGGAGAAAGUGAGUGAAGUAAAGGAUAGAGACAUAUAGAAAGUCCCCCUCCUUCACAUAGAGAAUGCAGGAAACAGGAACAUUAAGGUCAACCUCCAAUAGUAAUGUUAGAGCUGAACUUCUAGUCAUUCUAGCCUAGUGUCUGGACACAAACCAGCUCACCUUUCUGAGAUCCACUUUCUUUCCUGGGAAGGAAAAGUAACACAUUCCCUCUUGGCCUCCUGGGGUUGUGUAAGCCAUAAAUAUAUGCUUUGUAAAUUAUAAGAUGCUAUGUAAGUUUAAGUUGUUUUAAUAGUAUUAAAUAAUAAGAAUAAUGAGUUCCCUCAACUUGCGGAGGAAGAAACUAAGGAGUACAAUACUGAAAUGAUUUCCUCCAAGUCUAGCCGGGAAUAGAACCACGGUCUAUUUCAGUCCAGUGGAGUGGUAACACCCUGCUCCAUUUCUCUAACAGCAAAAGUGGUCCUGGGCCAGGACACUGCUCACGCAAAGCUCCCGGACUCCAAGGACGGGAAACACGUGACUGUGAGAGGCUCUCUGCUAGAGCCAGCUGCUCAUCCCAAGAGAUUCGACACCAAUCCCUGUGUUCUGGGUCUGGAGGGCUACUCUUCCGGAAUCCACCGAUGGCUGGUGGAACUAUCAUACUGGGGAGGCUGCAUCCUGGGAGGUGGGGGUGCCUCAAGAGUCAGUGAGUAGAAAGGGGAGGAUCUCCCUCUGCCAGAAGGAGGGGGUCUAGGCUUUGAGGGUCACCAGGGGACAGCUCUAGGCUCUCACAAACCCAGAAACCAAACUGACCCUAGAUGGAAAUCCCCAAAAGGUAGGGGUGACCUAGGAUUUCAGGAAGGGGCAGGUGACCUUUGUUAAUGCAAAUAAAGAGGCCAUCAUUUUUACUUUUCAGAAUUCUUUCACAGGGAAAAUAUCCCAUUCUUUGGGCUCUGUGUUCUGGGGGCACAUCUGACCCUGUAUCCCUGAGAUGGACAUGGCUUUCUCAUUACAUUUUAUGUGUACCUGCCCACAGAUGCGUUUUAAAAUGGACUCUAAAUUACCAGGGUCAGUGGUUCCCAUCAUGUUAGACCCAUCUUGGCCAUCGGUAAAGGAACAGACAUGGCAUUCACCUCGCUAUUACAUCCAUCUGGUUCUUGAGGAUGGCAAAAGGUCUGUUUUCUCCACUUAUCAACUGCAUCUGCUCCACUGAUUCCCAGUAGAAGCUAUGGGACAUGUGUUUCAGUUCCUAAACAUCAUUUUAUUUCGAGCCCACAGCCCUCCCCUGCCCAGAUUUCCCAACAGCUAAAGCAGCAGCAGUCUUCAAACUUCAGUGUGCACAAGAACCUAGGGUGCCUCUUCAAAAUGCAGGUUCCUGGGCCCACCCCCAGAGAACCAGAUGUAGCAGCCUCUGAGGUAGAGCUUGAGAAUUUCAUUUUAAGAAGAAGCUCCAGGUGGUUUUGGACCUUCUUUGAGAAAUAUUGUCCUAGAGCAGGGCUUCUGAAAUUGUAAUGCACAAGCUAUUAUCUGGGGAUCUUGUUAAAUAAAAAUAUUGAUUCUUUAGUUCUGGGCUUGGCCUGAGAUUCUGCAUUUCGAAUAAACUUCUAGGUGAAUCUGAUGUUCCUGGUCCUUGGACCACACUUUGAGUAGUCACAACCCAAAAGAUUUUCAAUGUUUAUCUGGGCCUACCCACUUUUACUCAUUGCUGUCGAGUCAAAUCCAACAUAUAGCAACUCUAUAGACAGAGUGGAACUGCCCUAUAGUUUCUAAGGAGUGCCUUUUUGGCUAAUAGCAGUAGCACUAAACCACUAUGCCACCAGGGUUUCCUAUUUGGGCCUAAAAGAGCAAAAAUGCCAUGGCCAAAUGUGGCCUUAACCCUCUUAUUCUUGUGGAGCAGAACUCACUCUCUUACCUCCAGUCAGUUAGGUCCCCAUGGACAAAGAGGGUACUGCUCUGGCUUGCAUUUCCUCAGUUUCACAGCCUUCUCACUGUGGAACUCUGUCCUGAUAUCCACCCAGUGCUAGCUCUGCUAUUGGAAGUGCUGAGUGGUUGAUUUUCUGUGUGUAUCAAGAGCUAAUAAGAAAAAAGAAAAAAACACGUGAGGGUGAUAAAAUAUUAGAAAGGGAAACCAUGGAGGCUGUGGAGUUUCCACCCUUGGAACACUUCAAGAAAAGAAUAUUGAAUUGUUAAGACAUUCCCCAUAGGACUAGACAGAUGAUUUUUCAAAGUUUCUCCCAAGUUUGUUGUUGUUGUUGUUGUUGUUAGAUGCCAUGGAGUCAGUUUCAACUCAUAGUGACCCUAGGUACUACAGAACAAAAUAUUGCCCAGUCCUGCGCAAUGCUCACAAUCAUUGUUAUGCUUGAGCCCAUUGUUGCAGCCACUGUGUUAAUCCACCUUGUUGAGCGUCUUCCUCUUUUCCACUGACCCUGGACAUUACCAAGAAUGAUGUCCUUUCUCCAGGGACUGAUCCCUCCUGAUAACAUGUCCAAAGUACGUAAGACGUAGUCUCGCCACCCUUGCUUCUAAGGAGCAUUCUGGUUGUACUUCUUCCAAGAUAAGAUUUGUUAGCUCUUCUUGCAGUCCAUUAUAUAUUCAAUAUUCUUCACCAACACCACAAUUCAAAGGCAUCAAUUCUUCUUCAGUCUUCCUUAUUCAUUGUCCAGCUUUCGCAUGCAUAGGAUGCAAUUGAAAAUACCAUGGCUUGGGUCAGGUGCACCUUAGUCUUCAAGGUAACGUCUUUGUUUUUCACACUUUAAAGAGGUCUUUUGCAGCAGAUUUGCCCAACGCAAUGGGUCUUUUUGAUUUCUUGACUCCUGCUUCCAUGGGUGUUGAUUGUGGAUCCAAGUGAAAUGAAAUCCUUGACAACUUCAAUCUUUUCCCCAUUUAUCAUGACAUUCUUUAUUGGUCCAUUUGUGGGCUUCCAGACUAAGACAGACCAGGAAAAGGGACCUGGCAAUCUACUUCUGAAAAUAAUUAGCCAGUGAAAACUUUACGAACAGCAGCGGAACACGGUCUGAUAUAGUGCUGGAAGAUAAGCCCUCCAGGUUGGAAGGCACUCAAAAUACAACUGGGGAAGAGCUGCCUCCUCAAAGUAGGGUAGACCUUAAUUACGUGGAUGGAGUAAAGGUUUUGGGACCUUCAUUUGCUGAUGUGGCACAACUCAAAAUGAGAAGAAACAGCUGCAAACAUCCAUUAAUAAUUGGAACCUAUUAUAUACGAAGUAUGAACCUAGGAAAAUCAGAAAUCGUCAAAAAUGAAAUGGAAUGCAUAAACAUCGACAUCCUAGGCAUUAGUGAGCUGAAAUGGACUGGUAUUGGCCAUUCUGAACCAGACAAUUAUAUGGUCUACUAUGCCAGGAAUGAAAAGUUGAAGAGGAAUGGUACUGCAUUCAUCGUCAAAAAGAACAUUUCAAGAUCUAUCCUGAAGUACAACACUGUCAGUGAUAGGAUAAUAUCCAUAUGCCUAAAGGAAGACCAGUUAAUACACUAUUAUUCACAUUUACGCACCGAACACUAAGGCCACAGAUGAAGCAAUUGAAGAUUUUUACCAGCUUCUGCAGUGUGAAAUUGAUCAAACAUGCAAUCAGGAUGCAUUGAUAUUACUUGUGAUUGGAAUGUGAAAGUUGGAAACAAAGAAGGAUCAGUAGUUGGAAAAUAUGUGAUGAUAGAAACGAUGCUGGAGAUCACACGAUAGAAUUUUGCAAGACCAACAACUUCUUCAUUGCAAAUACCUUUUUUCACCAACAUAAACGGCGGCUAUACAUGUGGACCUUGCUAGAAGGAAUACACAGGAAUCAAAUCGACUAUAUCUGUGGAAAGAGACGAUGGAAAACCUCAACAUCAUUGGUCAGAACAAGGCCAGGGGCCGACUGUGGAACAGACCAUCAAUUGCUCAUACGCAAGUUCAAGUUGAAACUGAAGAAAAUUAUAACAAGUCAAUGAGAGCCGAAGUACAACUUUGAGUAUAUCCAAUAUGAAUUUAGAGACAAACUAAAGAAUAGAUUUGAUGCAUUGAACACGAUGACCAAAGACCAGGCAACCUGUGGAAUGACAUCAAGGAUAUCAUCUAAGAAGAAAGCAAGAGGUCAUUAAAAAGACAGGAAAGAAAGAAAAGACCAAAAUGGAUGUCAGAAGAGACUCUGAAACUUGCUCUUGAACAUCUCCCAGUUUGGAAUUCUAAAAUUCUUUCAGAUAAUAGUCAUACUGUCUAUCUUUUUUUUUUUUUUCUUUUAAUUUAGAAAAUGAGUUGCAUUCAACAUUUUUCCUGAAGGAAUUACGAAGAUAAACCUUGGCCUUUUUCUAUAUUCCAAAAAGUUGCCUUGGGGUUAAAAAGAAGACUCCCCUGAGGUCAAAGAAUUUGAACUCAAUGAUACAGCCUGGAGCUCAUGUUGGUCUUUCUGUCUAGAACUUUGUUCUCUCAUGCACUUUCCAGCUCAUACAGGCUCAGUAAAUUACAGUGCAGUGAUCACUUGUCUAAGUUCCUCUUUCCCCAACCAAAUCCUCUGAGCUACCCCAGAGUGAGGACCUUUUCAUCUCUGAAUCCCUGAUAGUAAGUUCACGGUGGUUUGCAAAAGUGUCCACUGAUUGAAUGAAUCAAGGAUAUUGGCUAAAAGCAAUACCAAUAAACACCCAGCACUGUAAGUGAAUCUUCUACAAUAUUCUAUAGUUUCUCAGUGUCUCAUUCGAUACUUAUUUCCCCAUAGGGAGUACAACAAGAGGUCAUUUACAAUACCCUGGAGGAACACUAAUUAGCAUCAGGGUGGAUUUAUGCACAGACCCUGCGCAUUAUUAUUAUGGGUGGCACAAUUCUGUGGGGGCUCUGGGCUGUUCAGAGCUUGAAUCUGGCUUGGAUGACUUCAAUGUCCUUGUGCUCAUGAGCUAGCCUGGUGGUUCCUCCUAGCUCACAUCUCCACUUGGGCUCUUGAGGCCUGUACAUCUCUUUCUGGGCACUCAGGCAUGGGAUGGAAAGCAUCUCUCUCCUCUAAGGCCCAGUCAUCAAGCAUUCCCGCCAGGGGACAGGAUUGGGAAAUUUCCACUUAAAAUACCACCACUUCUUUCAUCUGAUAUUUUCUAACACUGGAGCAGUGGUUCCCAAUCUCUUCAUCAUCAACGAGGCUUUGACAGUUUCUUCCCUUCCUAUGUUUUACAAUGGUUUUAACUACCAAAUCGAAUUCUCUAAGUGAUAUUUGUUUUCUUAUACUAUUUCUCAGAAAUACGUUUAAGAUCAACAUGAAGCACGCAAGGUUACAUCAUUUGAAACAAUGGAAAAUAAGUCCCAGAUCCCAAUUGAAAUCUCAAACUGGGAUAGCUGCCCUAAAGGGUCUGUUAAACUCUGGCUAACAGGAACGUGUCUGUCUUCUGUUCUCCUGUCAUGGCAGCUGCUUCUUUCUGUUGGAACCACUGAAGAUAUGACUCCUAAUCUGAUGGCUAGAAAUAAGAUUUAAAAGAGGCACAUGAUCACUCCAGAGGUGAUUAUUCCUCCUAAUCUUGGGUUAUCUCUGCUGGGCCAACGAAGAACAGGUACAUGGAGAAAGGAACCAAGGGUUGUGUCUAAUCACACACAGAUCUCCCCACAGGCAACAGCCUAAGGAAGCAUGGCCUGUUCACCUGAGUCAAUACUGCCUACAUAACCCAAUCUAACCGCCCUGUUUGCUUUUCAGCUCUUCCAACUUUUGUAACUAGUUCCCCUGGCAUGGGCUCUGUUUUCCCAGCUGUAUCCUGACUAAUAUCACUGACUGUUAGGUCAGGGUUGUUGUUCUUAGGGGCUGUUGAAACGGUUCUGACUUACACUGACCCUAUGGACAACAAAAUGAAACACUGCGUGGUCCUGCGCCAUCUUCACUAUCGUUGCUAUGUUUGAGUCCAUUGUUGCAGUCACUGUGUCAAUCCAUCUCAUUGAGGAACUUCCUCUCUUCAGAUGACCCUCUACUUUACCAAGCAUGAUGGCCUUCUCCAGGGACUGAUCCCUCCUGAUAACAUGUCCCAAGUACAUGAGACAAAGUCUCACCAUCCUUGCUUUUAAGGAACAUUCUGGUUAUACUUCUUCCAAGACAGAUUUGUUUGUUCUUCUGGUAGCCCAUGGUAUAUUCAAUAUUCUUCACCAACACCAUAAUUCAAAGGCAUCAAUUCUUCUUCGGUCUCCCUUAUUCACUGUCCAGCUUUCACAUGCAUAUGAGGUGAUUAAAAAUACCAUGGCUUGGGUCCUCAAAGUGACAUCUUUGCUUUUUAACACUUCAAAAAGGUCUCUUGCAGUAGAUUUGCCCAAUGCAAUACAUCAUUUGAUUUCUUGACUGCUGCUUCCAUAGGCGUUGAUUGUGGAUCCAAGUAAAAUGAAGUCCUUGACAACUUCAACCUGUUCUCCGUCUAUCACGAUUUUGCUUAUUGGUCCAGUUGUGAGGAUUCUGUUUUUUUUAUGUUGAGGUGUAAUCCAUACUGAAGGUUGUGGUCUUUGAUCUUCAUCAGUAAGUGCUUCAAGUCCUCUUCACUUUCAGAAAGCAAGAUUGUGUCAUCUGCAAAACAGAGGUUGUUAAUGAGUCUUCCUCCAAUCCUGAUGCCCCGUUCUUCUUCACAUAGUCCAGCUUCUCGGAUUAUUUGUUCAGCAUACAGAUUGAAUAAGUAUGGUGAAAGACUACAACCCUGACACACACCUUUCUUGACUUUCCAGUAUCCCCUUGUUCUGUUCAAAUGACUCCCUCUUGGCCUAUAUGUACAAGUUCCUCAUGAGCACAAUUAAGUGUCCUGGAAUUCCCAUUCUUCCCAAUAUUAUCCAUAAUUUGUUGUGAUCCACAUAGUUGAAUGCCUUUGCAUACUCAAUAAAAGACAGGUAAAAAUCUUUCUGGUAUUCUCUGCUUUCAGCCCGGAUCCAUCUGAUAUCAGCAAUGAUAUCCCUGGUUCCAUGUCUUCUUCUGAAUCUGGCUUGAAUUUCUGACAGUUCCCUGUUGAUGUACUACAACCACUUCUGAAUGAUCUUCAGCAAGAUUUUACUUUCGUGUGAUAUUAAUGAUAUUGGUUGAUAAUUUCUGCAUUCUGUUGGAUCACUUUUCUUUGGAAUGGGCACAAAUAUGGAUCUCUUCUAGUCAGUUGGCCAGACAAGAGUGGCAUCUCCAGUGCUGCAUUCAUUUGUUGAAACACCUCAACUGGUAUUCUGUCAAUUUCUGGAGCCUUGUUUUUCACUAAUGCCUUCAGUGCAGCUUGGACUUCCUCCUUCAGUACCACUGGAUCUUGAUCAUAUGCCACCUCUUGAAGUGGUUGAGCACCAACCAAUUCUUUUUGGUAUAGCGGCUCUGUGUAUUCUUUCCAUCUUCUUUUGAUGCUUCUUGCAUUGUUCAAUAUUUUCCCCAUAGAAUCCUUUACUAUUGCAACUCGCAGCUUGAAUUUUUUCUUCAGUUCUUUCAGCUUGAGAAAUGCUGAGUGUGUUCUUCCCUUUUGGUUUUCUAACUCCAGGUCUUUGCACAUUUUAUUAUAAUACUUUCCUUUGUCUUCUUGAGCCACCCUUUGAAAUCUUCUGUUCAACUCUUUUACUUCAUCAUUUCUUCUAUUCCCUUUAGCUGCCCUACAUUUAACAGCAAGUUUCAGAAUCUCUUCUGACAUCCAUUUUGGUGUUUUCUUUCUCUCCUGUCUUUUUAAUGACCUUUUGUUUUCUUCAUGUAUGAUGUCAUCCCACAACUUGUCUAAUCUUUGGUCAUGAGUGUUCUGCUGUUAUUCACAAGGUUUUCACUGGCCAAUUUUUUCCGAAGUAGACCAUCAGGUCCUUCUUCCUAGUCUGUCUCAGUUUGGAAGCUCUGCUGAAUCUGUCCACCACAGGUGGCCCUGCUGGUAUUUGAAAUACUGGUGGCAUGGCUUUCACAGCAACAUGCAAGCCACCACAGUAUGACAAGCUCAAAGAAGAGUGGUGGUAGGUUAGGGCAGUGGGGGCUUUUUGACCUGUCCCUCUCCCCUGGAUCUAUGUCUUGGCUUCCUGAUGUCCAGAGGCUUCUUUGUGGCAGUGGGGUCCACACCUGAGAAAGCACAGUGUCAGUGGCCCCAGAGGCAGCAGGUGUCUUACUGGGCCAGUUAUGUAAUAUUUCAGGAGUCAUAGCAGGAGGCACAUUAUUAUGGACUGUGUUGUGUCCAUGGAAAAGACAUGUUGAAAACCUAACCCCUGGUACCUGUGAACGUGACCCUGUUUGGAAAUAGGAUCUUUGGAGAUGUUAUUAAAUUAACAUACUGUAGUAGUGUGGGUCUUAAUUCAAUAUGAAUGGUGUCCUUAUAAAAGAGAAGAAGAGACACACUGAGAGGGAAGACAGCUAUGUGAAGACGGAGGCUCCAUCUACAGGCCAAGGAAUGCCAAGGAUUGCCAGCUGUCACCAGAAGCUAGGAGAGAGGUAUGGAAUUGAUUCUCCCUCAGGACACUCAGAAGGAAUCAACAUGGUCGAAAUUCUGAUUUCAGACUUCUAGCCUCCAGACUCUAAGACAAUAAAUUUCUGUUGUUCUAAGCCACCUAGUUUGUAAUUUGUUAGAGCAGUCCCAGAAAACUAAUACACCCAUGUAAAACACCUGCUCCUUCAGCACUUUCAACAAUUUUUUGUAAGAAUCUAAUUUAAAUCCCUUCCUGAUAAAAUACUUAGUGGUGCCUUACAUUGCUCAAGACCCAACUGAAAUGCCCCUUCCUUUUUGAAACCUUUCUCCAAGUCUCCUAGAAAACACCGUUCUCUCCCUGACUCCUUUAGUAUCUCAUACCUUUCUUUUAGCAUUAACCAACACUAAGCCUGUCUUCUCACAGUUACUAAAUCAUAAGUUCCUUCAGCACAUAAACAGUCCUGACUCCCCAGCCCCACCUUGGACAUAGCACAAUUCCCUGAACACGGCAAGUGUUAAAAUGCCUUUAGUCAGAGGUAGACUUUAAAAGACUUGAUACAGAAGAAAGCAGAACUUGGAAGUAAAGAAAACACAUCCUGCCCAAAUGGUGGGAGGUGGAAAUGGACAGAGCAAGUAGAAAAGAAAAAGCAACUUACCCUUCUAGAACACUAAUAAGGAACACUAAUUAUCCUUCUGUCCUCAAAAAAAUUUCCCAUAGAGGCUAUAGGGGUCGAAUGUCCUCCAUAUCUAUAGGCUAAUUCUUUGAGUUAUUUAAUAGUUGUUUGUUGUAAAAAUGCAAAUAUCCAAGGCUUAGAAAGAAGUAAUUACUUUAGCAAGAAUAACUCAAAUAUCUACCACAGACUGAAACCUCCUAGAGACCAAGCAUCACGUCAAAGACAAGGAAACUGGAGUCCAGAAAGGUGACACACAGGCAGGAAAUGGUAGAGUAAAAAGUCACACUCAGGUCUCCCUCAGUUUGGCCAUUACACAUUGUGCCUUCUUCACAAGCCAUACCGCCCUACAGAAUGAGACCAGAUAACUGGAGGAAUUCAAGAGGGAGAAAAUGAAAGGCAAGAUGACCAGAACUAGAACACAGCCCAUGAUAGAUCAUGGCACUGGAAGCCUAAAGUUUGGCUUGGCUUGAAAGAGGUUUAAAAAUAAUGGUAAUAAUAAUGAGCAAGAUGCACAAAUGAAAUGCAGGUGGCACUCAAAUAAAACUUUCUUUUUACUUCCAAAUUUUGCCUCAGGUCAUCUUGGAGUGUGGGGGGAAGGGUGCGGUUCAUGAGAAACGCAAGGUGUGCGAGGAAAGAAGGGAGGUAAUUCAGCAGCCUGGGCCGUAUCCACUAGUAUUCUGGGACAAGGGAGCGAAGAGUCAAUGUUGGGGAGGGAGUAGCGUGAACAGUGUCAUGUGCCACAGAGAAGACUAAGGAAAGGACUCUGGAUGCCACUGGGAGAUAGUAUAAAUUGGGUGGCAGGAAGAAGUGGGAUUGCAGAAGUUAAGAAUGAUGAGACUUUAGGGAACUAAGAUAAAUGCCAACCACUUUUCUAACAGUAGGAAAGAGAAGAUGGUUACUGCAUAGGUCAGCAGGGUUAAGCAAACCUGUUGCUGUUAAGUUGAUUCUGACUCAUGCUGACUCCAUGGGUUACAGAGUAGGACUGCUCCACAGGGUUUUCUUGGCUGUAACCUUUAUGGAAGAAGAUUGCCAGGCCUUUCUUUCCUCACACUGCUGGGUGGGUUCAAACCACCAACCUUUAGGUUAAGAGUCGAGUGAAAACCAUUUGCACCACCAAGGAAACUUAGGACCAAGUAAAGGAUUUCUAAAAUGCUGAUUUGAAAGAAAAAGAAAAAGAAGCAAAGGAGAGACUGAUGAUUUUAAGAAAAAGAAAGAAUGUGAAAAUAAUAUCAAACUCUAAGAGGAUCAAUCAAAACUACACGUAGUGAGGCGCGGCCAAGAUGGCAAAGUAGUCAGGCGCUUCUGGUGAUCCUGCUUACAACAAAGACCCCAAAAAACAAGUGAAUCAAUCUUAUAUAUAACAAGCUAGGAACCCUGAGCAUCAAAGGCAAAGUUAAGGAAUCAGACUAAGUGACAGGGGAGGGAGAGACGGUGCAGAAGCUGCGAGGAGUUGCCGAGCCCACAACAGUGCUCAGCUCCGAUUCCCAGGCACGUUCCUUGGUGCGACUGUGGUGGGGCUGAUGGUAAUAGUCCAGGACAAGGUAGCUUCAGUGAAAGAUGGGAAGCAGAGUGGCGCGCCCCUGACCCUGUGGCGUGUCAAUAGCGGAGCUGGCUGUUGCAUUUAGGAAGGAGCUGCUCCAGUGAAAGAAGGAAACCAAAGUGACAGCACCCUGACCCCCGGUGUGACAGCUAAGGGACUGGCGGUGAAGUUGAGGUCACAGCUGCUUCAGCAAAAGAAAGCAAGCACAGGACACAGCCCUAACCCCCUAGGGCGAUCUUGGCAAGGAUUCAGCCAGAGCACACAGGCUACACAUGCCUCUGGAAUCUGAUAUAAAACAGUGCUCUCGGCACAAGGUAAUUGAUUUUGUCUAAUUCACCACGCAGACCUAAUAGCUUCUUCUUUUGAAAGAACUCUCUUCUAUCUAUCUAUCUGAUCCCUUCUCUCUCUGUCCCAGCCUGCUUUAUUAACAGUUGAUUUCCCUGGGCCUGAGAUAGGUCCUGCUGUGAUUCCUGAGCCAUUCUCCUGGCCUUGGAGAAGGAACAAAUUAACCACAGGGAAAAAAUGCUCUGCUAGCUCCCCUAAUCUGGAAGCUCAGAGCAGAAGCGGCUCCAGUCCAGGCACAAGAGAUCCAUAGACUUUAUCUUUCACCCCUGCAUAGACCCAGGGGGCUUGACUACACAAGACAGGAUCUAGCUAUUACAUUGCAAGGGUAAACCUGUUUGAGGCCUGACUGUAACUGUUUCAGCUGUGUGGUCGAGAGGCAGAUUUUGGACGUUUGAUACCACUCUGCCUAUCAAACAGGGGCUUCACCUACCCACAGCAGGAGCCUGAGGACUGGAGGGUCCAUCCAUGCCACCUAGCCACCCAUGAAAGGGGUCCAAGGAUAGUGGUGCCUACCAGUCCUUACAGGUAAAAGCACUGCAUGCCUCAGGUACAGCUGCAGAGCCCACCCACCAGAGUGCUCUAGAGAGCAGGGAUACUCCUUCCUCAUUGACACUUUGGGGAUGGUUGUCAGCCCCCUGCCUUCCUCAGAGUGUGACCCCCCUGCUCCUACCAGAAACCUGUGUAUACACCCAUCACCACAGCUCCUCUAAGAUAGUAGGUAAGAGCUUAUACCAAAAACUAGGUGACCAACUAUCAGGACACCUGAGCUGAAUCUAUACAAGAAUAGCGAAUGGACUCCUGGGCUCAUAUACCUGGUAACAACUCUAGCCAUCUGGUAACAGGACAUUAGUGCUUCAAAGCCUCCAAUAAUCAGGUUAGCUCACUCCAGUAGCCUAUUUGGGUAUAUCAAAACAAAACAAAGCAAGAAACUAGGACACAGUGGCAAAUAUAAAAUAAAUUAAUACAAUAACUUAUAGAUGGCUAGGGGACAACAGUUGAUAUCAAAUCACAUGAAGAAGCAGACCAUGAUUGCUUCAACAAACUCUGAAAAAAAAAAGAA